rnacentral:rRNA from 1 species
UACGGAGGAUGCGAGCGUUAUCCGGAUUUAUUGGGUUUAAAGGGUGCGUAGGCGGCUUAGUAAGUCAGCGGUGAAAUUUUGCAGCUUAACUGUAAUAGUGCCGUUGAUACUGCCAGGCUAGGAUUUGGUUGCUGUGGGUGGAAUGUGUGGUGUAGCGGUGAAAUGCUUAGAUAUUACACAGAAUAUCGAUUGCGAAGGCAGCUCACAAAGCCAAGAUUGACGCUGAGGCACGAAAGUGUGGGGAUCAAACAGGA